GGUUCAGUAGUGUAGAGGUUAUCACCCGGGAUUCUGAUUACUAGACUUCCCGUAACCCAGGUUCGAGUCCUGGUUGGACCU
rnacentral:tRNA from 1 species